rnacentral:lncRNA from 1 species
CCAGUUCAUCCCCUACACUUGCUGCUAACAAAAAGGGGGAGAAAGAAUUACCAACUCCUGCAGAAUUGAUCAGUCAAAUUCCUCCCCCUUUCCACACUGAAAGGGAAAAGCAGAAGAUUGCAAGGAUGAAAGAAUUGGACUCCAUUGCAAAGAGAGUGGCUCAACUGGGCAAGAAAUCUUCCACAUCUUCUACAGCCACUACAGCUCAAAUCUCUUUUCCAACCACA